rnacentral:rRNA from 1 species
UACGAAGGGGGCUAGCGUUGCUCGGAAUCACUGGGCGUAAAGGGCGCGUAGGCGGCUUGGCAAGUCAAAGGUGAAAUCCCUCGGCCCAACCGAGGAACUGCCUUUGAUACUGCUUGGCUCGAGGCCGGGAGAGGGUAGCGGAAUUCCCAGUGUAGCGGUGAAAUGCGUAGAUAUUGGGAGGAACACCAGUGGCGAAGGCGGCUACCUGGACCGGUUCUGACGCUGAUGCGCGAAAGCGUGGGGAGCAAACAGG